rnacentral:rRNA from 1 species
AUUGUCCUACGGGGCGCAGCAGUGGGGAAUAUUGCACAAUGGGGGGAACCCUGAUGCAGCGACGCCGCGUGGGUGAAGGAGUAUUUCGGUAUGUAAAGCUCUAUCAGCAGGGAAGAAGAAAUGACGGUACCUGAGUAAGAAGCACCGGCUAAAUACGUGCCAGCAGCCGCGGUAAUACGUAUGGUGCAAGCGUUAUCCGGAUUUACUGGGUGUAAAGGGAGCGCAGGCGGCACGGCAAGCCUGAUGUGAAAGCCCGCGGCCCAACCGCGGGACUGCAUUGGGAACUACCGGGCUGGAGUGCCGGG